rnacentral:sRNA from 1 species
GCCGGGCGCGGUGGUGCGCGCCUGUAGUCCUAGCUACUCGGGAGGCUGAGACAAGGAGGAUCGCUUGAGUCCAGGAGUUCUGGGCUGCAGUGCGCUAUGCCGAUCGGGUGUCCGCACUAAGUUCGGCAUCAAUAUGGUGACCUCCUGGGAGCGGGGGACCACCAGGUUGCCUAAGGAGGGGUGAACCGGCCCAGGUCGGAAAGACCUUAAUAGAGUAAAACGCUGAAGUUUACAAUUGAGUUAGGUGUUGGCAAGGUUACUGAAAGGAUAAGAGAAAAAAAAUAUGAAAACGUCAUU